ensembl:lncRNA
GGCAAUAUUACACAGGGUUGCUUGGCAGGAAUAUUUCUAGUGAAAUGAUUAAAACUCUACAGGUAAAGUUCCGUGUGUGGCAUUCACGCAGCACUCCACUCUGAAGUGGUUGUCAUACACACGUGAGUGAGAGAAGCCAGCAGAGGGGAAGGGAGAGCCAGGCCCGGCCCGCUCCGCCCCCUGAAUCACGGAAGUGCUAACGUGACUCUUCUCCCAGGAAGUCGCAGCUGGGCUGAAGUCUUUUUUCCUCUUCUUUUCCUUUUUUCUUCUACCCCUUCAACUCAUGUCCUAGUCCAUGAUGAGAAAGGAAAGGAAACGGGGUGAAGGUGAGCCCAUCCCAAGCUGCACGGAGUUGACAAAAGGCAGGGAGGUGCUGCCGUGCCCAGCUCCAACAGCACUGAAGCCCGGAUUUUUGGCUCACUUUUCGCAAGUGCCAUGUGUACCAAUAAAAAGAGAGUUCUGCAGGAAAUGAGGUGUGACGCAGGCCAGCUUCACCAGUCUCUCGGACCAAGAAAUAAGAAUUUAAAUAUGAAAUACUAAAAUUUAACACAUGACUGAAACAAAAUAAAUGGUGUAGCACUAAAAGCAUUUGAGGUAACACCGUCACAGGUUCCAGGGACGAGUAUGUGGACAUCUUUGCGGGGCCAUUAUUCUGCCUACCACACAAAGCAACGAAAAAUACACGUGCAGUCAAGACAGAACGUCCACAGGUGUGGGGAGGAAACGCACAGGAAUACGUGGAGCGGGACUUCACCUUGUUGUGGUGAAACAGCACUGGGCGCUGACUCCUGGACUCUGAGUUUUAGUUUCCUCGCCUAUAAAAACAGAGCGGCUAGACUGGAGGCUUCCAAACCAUGCUCCCCCAAGCCCUUGCGUUUCUUCAAGAUUGCUCCAGGGCCACUGCAGAGAGGAGGCCCAGCAAGCAGAACCUGGACCCUCCCUGAGAUGCUCAUCCCAAUGACUAGAGCCUCCGUGACGAUGGCAUUGGAGGGUGUGGCUUUGCACACCAAAGAAUGCAGCACUCUCACCACGCCUUCAGUGUGCCCUAAAGAGGGAACAGAGUACCUGCGCACUUCAGCUCCAACCGCCUGGUGGAGAAGGAGGCUUGUUAGCUGCUGACAGUCCUGAGCCUCCUCACUGGCCGCACAUGGCUCGCACGCAGGACCCUCACGGUCAGACCUGGCCUCACAGCCCUGCACAGUGCACGAGGAGACCAAAGCUAACAAGGUCUUGGUAAAAACCAUUCCAGUGCCAUGUGGCCACCAAGAAUGAACCCUGGACUAGAAUGCAGCUUCCUUCAUGUGCAAAGUUUCUCCCAUAGAGCUGGAGAGCAUCCUCUCUAUUCUAGAACCGUGCUGUCCAAUGUGGUAACCACUAACCCUGUGUGCCUGUCGAGUGCUGGAAAUGUGGCUGGUCUGGUUUGUGACAUGCUGUUAAGUGUAAAAUACACACUGGAAUUUGGAAGACUUGAUAUGAGAAAAGAAUGUAAAAUAUCUCAAUAGGUUUUACAUGGAUUACACAUUGACAUGAUAAAAUUUUGGACAGAUUGAGUAAAUAAAAAUGUAUCAGAAUUAA